rnacentral:rRNA from 1 species
AACGAACGCUGGCGGCAUGCCUAACACAUGCAAGUCGAACGAGACCUUCGGGUCUAGUGGCGCACGGGUGCGUAACGCGUGGGAACCUUCCCUUAGGUUCGGAAUAACUCCCCGAAAGGGGUGCUAAUACCGGAUAAUGUCUUCGGACCAAAGAUUUAUCGCCUUUGGAUGGGCCCGCGUUGGAUUAGCUAGUUGGUAGGGUAAAAGCCUACCAAGGCGACGAUCCAUAGCUGGUCUGAGAGGAUGAUCAGCCACACUGGGACUGAGACACGGCCCAGACUCCUACGGGAGGCAGCAGUGGGGAAUAUUGGACAAUGGGCGAAGGCCUGAUCCAGCAAGGACGCGUGAGUGAUGAAGGCCUUAGGGUUGUAAAGCUCUUUUACCCGGGAUGAUAAUGACAGUACCGGGAGAAUAAGCUCCGGCUAACUCCGUG